AGAGUUUGAUCCUGGCUCAGAACGAACGCUGGCGGCGUGCCUAACACAUGCAAGUCGAACGGAGUGAAGGAGCUUGCUCUUUCAUUUAGUGGCGCACGGGUGAGUAACGCGUAGAUAAUCUGCCUUGGACUCUGGGAUAACAUCUCGAAAGGGGUGCUAAUACCGGAUAAGCCCACGAUGGCGUAAGUCAUUGCGGGAAAAGGGGGCCUCUGAAUAUGCUCCUGAUUCAAGAUGAGUCUGCGUACCAUUAGCUAGUUGGUAGGGUAAGAGCCUACCAAGGCGACGAUGGUUAGCUGGUCUGAGAGGAUGAUCAGCCACACUGGAGCUGAGACACGGUCCAGACUCCUACGGGAGGCAGCAGUGGGGAAUUUUGCGCAAUGGGGGAAACCCU
rnacentral:rRNA from 1 species